ACAAAUGGCAUAUGACCAGUACUGACAAUUAUUAACAUCUUCACAUAAUCACAUCACGUGGAAAUUGGUCAGUGGCAUCACCGAAACCCCCAAUGAGUCGUCCUCCAACAUGGCUCAUCCACUCACGUGUGCUCCAGGGAGCCAAUCCCCCAUUUUAGCCGACUGGUCUAAUCCUCACUUGACCGGCCCUCUCAUUGUUUAUCCAUUCUCUUUUUUUUUUUUUUUUUUUUUUUUUU
rnacentral:lncRNA from 1 species